rnacentral:rRNA from 1 species
AGGACGAACGCUGGCGGCGUGCUUAAUACAUGCAAGUCGAACGAGAAGCCACCGCUCCGUAAGGAGUGGUGGUGGACAGUGGCGAACGGGUGAGUAACACGUGGGCAACGUGCCCUGGACACCGGAACAACAGUGGGAAACCGCUGCUAAUGCCGGAUAAACCUGCAGCGUCGCAUGACGCAACAGGCAAAGGUCCGCCGGUCCAGGACUCGGCCCGCGGUGCAUCAGCUUGUUGGUGGGGUAACGCCUACC